rnacentral:rRNA from 1 species
AGCGAAACGGGAAGAGCCCAAACCAACAAGCUUGCUUGUUGGGGUUGUAGGACACUCUAUACGGAGUUACAAAAGUAUAUAUUAGACGAAUCAUCUGGAAAGUUGAAUCAAAGAAGGUAAUAAUCCUGUAGUCGAAAAUAUAUACUCUCUUGAGUGGAUCCUGAGUACGACGGAGCAC